GUGGGGAAUAUUGGACAAUGGGGGGAACCCUGAUCCAGCCAUGCCGCGUGUGUGAAGAAGGCCUUUUGGUUGUAAAGCACUUUAAGCAGUGAAGAAGACUCUUCGGUUAAUACCCGGGGACGAUGACAUUAGCUGCAGAAUAAGCACCGGCUAACUCUGUGCCAGCAGCCGCGGUAAUACAGAGGGUGCAAGCGUUAAUCGGAAUUACUGGGCGUAAAGCGAGCGUAGGUGGCUUGAUAAGUCAGAUGUGAAAUCCCCGGGCUUAACCUGGGAACUGCAUCUGAAACUGUUAGGCUAGAGUAGGUGAGAGGGAAGUAGAAUUUCAGGUGUAGCGGUGAAAUGCGUAGAGAUCUGAAGGAAUACCGAUGGCGAAGGCAGCUUCCUGGCAUCAUACUGACACUGAGGCUCGAAAGCGUGGGUAGCAAACAGGG
rnacentral:rRNA from 1 species